GGACCCGCACAAGCGGUGGAGCAUGUGGUUUAAUUCGAUGCAACGCGAAAAACCUUACCUAUACUUGACAUACUUGGAAUGCUUUGUAAUGAAGCAGUGCCUUCGGGAGCCAAGAUACAGGUGCUGCAUGGCUGUCGUCAGCUCGUGUCGUGAGAUGUUCCGUUAAGUCGGAUAACGAGCGCAACCCUUACCCUUAUUUGCCAGCGAUUCGGUCGGGAACUAUAAGGGGACUGCCGGUGAUAAACCGGAGGAAGGUGAGGACGACGUCAAGUCAUCAUGGCCCUUACGUAUAGGGCUACACACGUGCUACAAUGGAGAAUACAGACGGACGCUAAGCCGCGAGUGGUG
rnacentral:rRNA from 1 species